AUGAAUUUGGCAGCAGAGACCGAAGAAUGGAACUUGCUUCAGAGAAACUCAUGAAAAAUUGUCCACUUUCAAAAUGGCUGCAUGUCCCACUGCUCGUAGAAGGUCUGAUGCCGCGAGGUGGGCUAAGAAGUGAUUUUUCAAAAAUGGAAAUGGCCAUUGCUUGGAUGCUGCUUGAACACUAGAGCUGAGCUGAUUCCUGGCAGCGUAGCAGCACGAUCUGGAGAAGGACAGCUGGCUUGUUCCAGGAGACUGAAGGUGAAGAAUAGGCAAGGAGGUGGAAGAAAACACACUAAGUAAAAU